UCGAUAAAAUGAGGGGAAAAGAAAAGAAAACGUAAAAAAGCAGAGAAAAAAGAAGUCGACGGGCGACAGAAAAAUAUCGCAGAAGAAAAAGAAAAGAGACCAAAAAGCAGAAGAAGACGGCUCCGAGUGUAGGCACGCCGGAGAUCCGGUGACCCAUUGAACCAUUGAAGCGUUUACCGUUAAGCUGUUGCAACGGUGGUUCGGGUAUAGAUUGACAAGUAUUGGGCUCUGAUCCCUGAAAAGUUUGAGGAUCUUUAAUAAUCUAAGCCACACUAACCAUGACGGAGUAUUGGGUGAGCCAGGGCAACAAAUGGUGCGAUUUUUGCAAAAUAUUUUUGACAAACAAUCCAAAUACAAUUAGGAACCAUGAACUUGGGCAACGUCACAAGGAAAAUGUGGCUAAGCGUCUUACUGAUAUGCGCAAAGAGAAGGCUGCUAAGGAGAAACAAGAAAAGGAAGCUGCUAAUACGUUGCAGCAAAUCGAAGCUAAAGCUAUUCGCAGUUACCAGAAAGAUGUAGCAUCUCAAGAAAGCAAGCAGUCACAGGCCCCUACUGAUUCUGUAACUGGUGACACAGCCUGGGAAUAUGACAAUACUUCCGGGUACUAUUAUGACCAACAUACUCGCAUUCACUAUGAUCCAAAGUCUGGCUUCUACUACUCUGAUGUUUUAGGUAAGUGGGUGACGCAAGAGGAGGCAUUUGCAGCCACUAAAAAUUCUGCUGGCUCCACACAAAAGAUGCCUUUGAAAAAUUCACCGGCAUCAUCUACUUCAGGUAAAUCUACUUUCAAGAAAGAUGAUGCUAAAAUCACAAGCGGACGUGCACCUGGGACCGUUGUUUCUGGGUCCCUAAAUCCCACACGAUCUGUAAAAGGUGCUCCUUCAUCAGUUGCUGUUGGAAAGAGGAAGAGGCCUGUUGAGAAAACAAAGGCAAUAACUGCAGAAGAAGCUGCUGCACUUAAAGCAAGGGAGGCAGCUAAGAAAAGAGUGGAAGAAAGAGAGAAGAGUUUGCUUGGACUUUAUGGUAAUUAAAAUUUACUAGAUUCGAACAGAAGCUGGAUCCACAAAAGCUAUUUCAGACUUCGAACCUGCAAUUGGGAACGGGUGGUCUAAUUUUUAUAUGGCUAAAGCAGGGAGAUGAUCACAUGCUUCUCGUGCUGUUUGAUUUUUUUCUACAAUGUUGCUAUCCAAUUUAUCCUUUAGAAGCCUUUUCUUGACGAUAGAAAACAAAGCAAGUGGAAGUCGAGUUGCAAAAAGGUGUAGUUGAUUGAUUUACACUGUUGCUUUCCUUUAUGGCAUUCCUUUUUGUAGCCUAUGAUCUAGGCAAAUCCAUGAACUUCGUAGUCCAUAUGUGAGUGUCUAGCCGCGUUGGCAGGAAACAAUUUUUGACUGAAUGUUUCCAAUUUCAUUCGGUUAGAAAUUGUGGGAGCUGACAGUUGACGGUUCCUUAAGACGGACUUUCUGUUUCAUUUUAUUUGUUGAUUUUAACUGUACCAUUGCAAUUGGAUGUGACCUUAUUUCAGAGAACUUACAGAUUCCUAUCUUAUUAGCUUUUCAACGUAUAUUGAAUUUUAUAUCCAUCUCUUGAUGUUUGGUUAGUUUGCAAGUAAAGAAGUAUUGCUUUUAUUCCCUUCAAUUUUUAUUGUGUAAUCUUUGUUCUGCUUUCAAGUUUCAGCCAUGCCACUCAUGCCGAUAGGCGAUAUGCGUUAGGGAAGCUACAAAAACCAUCCUAUCUCGAGGUUAGUGUUCUUUAAAUUGGUAAAAAAUUGACACCAAGCCUCGAAUUAGUAUUGCUCAUGGCAAUUGACAAUCGUCAAGCCGCAAUUUACCAAAAAUAUGUUUAUAGUUGAAUAUUAACGUUGCGCGUCUUUAAAGAAUAUUAGUUUUGAGUGGUUGGUUGAUUUUAGAGGUGUUUAUUUGGCUUAUUGGGUCGAUUUCGGAUCGUUUCAAAAUCGGAUUUUGAGUCCACAUUGAUUUUUACAGAAUGUAAGUUCAUUUUGAUGUCAAGUUUGGUUAUAAGGUUGGAUAAAUAUCAGAUCAUCGAAUUUGUUUUGAACACCUAAAUGAGUAUUAAAAUGCCCACCUAUUAAGCACACAUCUUGAGAGGUUACCUUUGAAUGGUGUAUGUGCCUUUGAAAAGUUGCAUUUUUCGGAAUAACAUACAUGCUCGUCGAAAUGAGCAUCAAUAUGCAUCCAUUUUGAAGGCACACUUCAUAACAACUUUAAACGGUGCUUUUAACUUUUGAAAUAAUCUUUGAGAAUUCAAAUCGAGUAAUCUUAAGGGGAAUUUCGCAAAGUCAAUCAAAAUUAAUACUGCUCUUUCAACUUCAAAACUCGAUAUACCUAAGAAAUGUUUACGAAAAUUAAGAAAAAAAAUAAAUUUUCUAGGUAAUGAAUAUAAUAUUUUUAUGAAUAAUAAAGUUAAUUGAGGAAAAAUGAGUAUCAUAAGCAUCAAAAAAUAUUAAAAUAUAAACAGUUAGAUAAAAUUAGUAGAAAAAUUAUAUGAAUCACAAUUAUUAUAAAUAUUUAAAUAAGUUAAUAGAAAAUAUGUAAAAAUCCUAGAAAUUGGUGUAAAAUAUAGAGACCAUAUAUAUAAAUAAAAUAUAAUUUGAUGAAAAAGGUUAAUUAUAUUUAGAAUUUGUAAUAUAAAUAGACUAAUUUUUUAGUGUAACAACAAAUAAAACACUCAAAACAGCAAAUGAGAACAUUUAGGAACAGAGGGUAUUAUAUUUAGACCUGCUUGUUGUUGUACUUGGACGACCUUGAAUGGUAAUUUAACUUUAAAAAUGAUAUUUUUAAGGGAAACAUUAGAAGUAUUUUUUUUUGCAUGCGUAGAUAAUUUGUCACGCUUUAUGUGAGAAAUACAAACGUAUUUUGAAAGGAAAAGACGCUCUUUAAGUGGAAUACAUGUGAUUUUUCAAUGAACAUGAGUGAUUUAAAGAAACAUCAUAAAUUUGUUGCAUAUUAUUAUAAGAAUAUUUGGUAUGAACAUGAAAAUCGUGCACAAGUAAAUGAAUUUUUCAAAAAAAUAAGAAUACUUUUAAAAGAACAUAUAACAUUUUCAAAAAAGCAUGAGAAACUUUCAUAGGAAUAUGACUAUAUGACUAAUUUGAAGUGGAAUAUAAGAAUUUUCAGAAAAAAAAAAAUCAGUUAUUUUCAAAGAAACACCAACAUGUUUACAACCCACAAAACUCUUCAAGUCUAUAUUCCAUGAAGCAUACACACGGGAAGGCAAAGACUUCUAAAUACAAAAGACUUUUUUUUAUGCACAAAAAGAAAACUCUAAUUAGUAAAAUGCAACUUGAGAGACAAGACGAAUCCAGGAUAUUAGUAUACGUAUUAAGUGGGCUAAACAAUGUAGGUGUGCUUAAACAACUCAAUUGCCAAUCUUAUUUGUUAUAUGGUACUGUAGAUGACGCCAACAACUUUUUAUUGCCCUGAUGCCAUUAAGUGGCUCUCAUCUAGGGUGAAGUUUGAGGGGUAGAAUGCAUGCAACAUUACUCUUGUUAUAUACUUGUUAGAGAAGUUGUUUCCAACUGAAUCUUAGUAGUAGAUAUAAUUUGCGAGUUCACUAAAUAAAAGGUGUACAUGAUUUAAUAAGUCAUUUUACUAUAAUUUACACAAAGAAAAUGCUUUUAAAAACUUGAUUCUUUGUAUUUUUGCAAGAUAAUGGCGAACUAUAUCCUUAGUUGAUCAAAUUUGAAUCGAUGAGCUCGAAGUUGCGAGUAGAGCUUUAGGUUCCAAAUUAUGUCGAGUAUGAGUGUAUGACAACACCAAAUUAGCUUUUAAGAUUUUGGUUGAUUAUAGUACAACUACGACACUGAAUUGAGAAUCAUGUAUUGAUUUAGUGGUUGAAGACGGUUUAUUUCAUUUUCGUUAUAAGUGUUGAAGAUCAAUUUCUUCUCCCUUUUGCAUAUAGGGAUUUUCGUUGCCCCAAAAAAAAAAAAAAAAAGACAGUAUGAGCUCUAAUGCAGUUUGUGUAAUUUAAUUUUCAAUUUAUAAUUCUUUUAUAUCAAUCAAUUUUCAUUAAAUUCAUUAUAGUGAUCUGCUUUAAAAACCAAUCAAUAUACAAUUCGUUGAAUCUUCGAGAAAGAUAGGACGUUUUGUACAAAUUUUCAUCAACAAUGGCCUUC